AAAACAACUAAUCAAUAAUUAUCAUCGAUAAGGAUAGUGGAAAUGAGCCGGCGGAGCUCAACACCUGCGUGACCCCAGCCGCAGUGGGCUGACUCCCUGUAAUGAUCUGAGCUCUUCUGCUCGGGUCUCAUGCUUCAGCCACUUCCUUCCUUUGAGCGGACCUGAUCAAUGACGCGCCCAUUGGCGUCUGCGCGGCAGACAGACAUCACACGUCGUCACCGGCUUACUAAGACUAACACAAAGCAGUGCGUAGCUGUGAGGCGGAAGACAUACAGACUCAGACCAGGAUGGUAAGCAUAUCCGACCAUCAGUUUAUAAGUCGGACCAUGUUCGAC